AGCAGCCGAAGGAGCUGCUCCAGCUCCUCCCGUGAUCAUAUGAAUCCCCUUCGCAAGGCUUGAUUCCGCCGGGUCCCCGUGCCGGGGAUGGCUGUGGGGCUGCGAUGACACUUUGGGGAACUGGGAGUGGGCGGGGGCUUUGUUCUGUGUUUGGUUUUCGCGUUCGGCAAAGGCCGGGAGAAAUGGCUCUGCUGCUGUCUCCGGCGUGACUGUGCCGUUCGCGUAUCCGGGUACGGCGCAGGCUGCAGUUGAACAAGCGAUAGCUGCCGUAUGGAUCGGGUAAGGUUAUCCCCUCCCGCUCCAUUCCCUAAGGCUACUUUAUAACCAAGCCUUCUAUCUGAGACCCUAUUGUUCUAAGUCAGCUCCUUCCCUCUGUACGGAUCCUGCUCCUCCUCCUCAAGGAGCUGCCUCUCUUCCCAGCGGACCGUCUGCUGAUCCUAGGUGCCUGAUUUUGUGUUUCGAGAUUUAUCCCCGCACAGGGACGCUAGACAAUGAGCUCCCAGCUUGCAGACCCAGCAGGAAGCUAUGGAAUCCUUGAAUUUUUACAAGCGUAAGAUAGCUUGGCCAUGUUCUACCAUGCUUCCAGUGAUCAGAGAGCCCCAUCAAUACGCGACAUGACUGGUUUUAUGCCAGUCCUAAUGGUGUCCUGGCCAGAACUGUUCUGAAGUCUUGUUGAUAAAGGAAGCUUGCAGGUGGGGGUACUGGUUUUGCAGAAGAUUACGAUUGAAAAUUGCUGUUCAAGAGGGUUUUGUUUAGGGCCUGAUCCAAAACCCAUUAUAAUUAAUGGAAAGACUUCCACUGACUUCACAGGGCUUCAGAUCAGGCCCUUUAAUCUUUUUUCAUAAUUAUAGGAAUUUUAAUUUCAUAGGAAGGCAUCUCAUGAUGGAAUGGACACAGUGUGAUUUGAUUUACAUUUGAUAUCUAGUAUUCACUGCACACACAUCCAUGUUUUUAAUAUUCAUAGCAGUCCAACUCUAAUUGCUGAGCAAGUGACACCUCACUUAAUCUUUCUUAAAUUAAUAUGUUUAUUCUGUUAUUAUACUUCAUGUAUGUGUUCUACAGCUUCAGGAAAAUAAAUGCAAAACAAUCUUGGGGUGAAAUUCACCCCUUUGCAGAGGAUCAGCUCAAGACCUAGUGGCUGCUGCAGUUCCACUUAAGCCCACAAAAUAGCACUUCAGUGGUGCAUAGGACUUGUGUAGGCACUUUGGUCAGGGGUGCAUUUACCAUUAAUGUUUACAAUGGCCCUAAUGUAAAGUCGCCAGAUAUUAUCCAUUAUGGGCCAGAAUAAUGAAAUUUGAAGCAGUUGAAUUUUACUUAAAUUCUGAAAAAACUGGUGCAAUAAAAGUGUUAUUAACAUUAAUCAUGCAUGCGAAAGUUGCAUAUACACACAUUAACAGCAUAUCACACAGCAAUUUUUUUUGUUUUUUGUUUUUCUUCAUUAUCAAUGUCUUUUUUGCACUCGUCUUUCUUCCAAAACCCCAUACAAGUUUAUUUUGAGAUUUUUGAGGCUGCAUGUAAUUUUCCAGGCAAAUACAGCACUGACACUUAUAUUGCAAUUGGUUUCUUGCAAAAAAAAGUUGUAUUGACAACAUUUUAUGGGAGCAGUACUGCCACCUCCUUAAAGUGCCUAUGUACCAGCUAUAAUACAUUCUCUGCAUCUUAUUCUGCUAUAACUUUUCAUCUAAUUAUUUCAUACACUACAUAUUUAGUCUGCAGAAACUGUACUUGACUUUUGAAACACUUGGGAGGAGAAAUGUGAUAACCUACUAAAGUGCCUUGCCCUUAACUGAAAUUAUGACAAAGUAAUUAAAGUUAAAGCAAAAAGGCUUAAUCUCUUGACUCCUUAUGUUGUCAGUGUUUUUGCAUUAGUGAGAUUUUUUUUAAAAAGGCUGUGAUUUAAAUGUCAAAAAGAUUGCAAGAAA